rnacentral:rRNA from 1 species
CCAAUAGCGUAUAUUUAAGUUGCUGCAGUUAAAAAGCUCGUAGUUGGAUUUCGGGUGGGAAUGGCCGGUCCGCCGUUUCGGUGUGCACUUGCUACGCCCACCUUGCUGCCGGGGACGUGCUCUUGAGUUCACGCUCGGGACACGGAGUCGGCGAGGUUACUUUGAGUAAAUUAGAGUGUUCAAAGCAGGCCUACGCUCUGGAUACAUUAGCAUGGAAUAACACGAUAGGACUCUGGCCUAUCUUGUUGGUCUGUAGGACCGGAGUAAUGAUUAAGAGGGACAGUCGGGGGCAUUCGUAUUUCAUUGUCAGAGGUGAAAUUCUUGGAUUUAUGAAAGACGAACUACUGCGAAAGCAUUUGCCAAGGAUGUUUUCAUUAA